rnacentral:misc_RNA from 1 species
GAACGCAACUUGCGCCCUCUGGUAUUCCGGAGGGCAUGCCUGUUUGAGCGUCAUUCAAACCUUCAAGCUCUGCUUGGUGUUGGGCGUCUGUCCUGCCUCACGGCGCGGACUCGCCUCAAAUCUAUUGGCGGCCGGCACGUUGGCUUCGAGCGCAGCAGAAACGCGAACUCGGGCCCGACGGAUCGGCUCCCAGAAGCUACCCCCAUGAAUUUGACCUCGGAUCAGGUAGGGAUACCCGCUGAACUUAAG